rnacentral:rRNA from 1 species
CACGUAGGGCGCAAGCGUUGUCCGGAAUCACUGGGCGUAAAGGGCGCGUAGGUGGCGCGGGCAGUCAACGGUGAAAGUUCGGGGCUCAACCCUGAAUCGGCCGUCGAUACUCCCGUGCUUGAGCACUGUAGAGGCAGAUGGAAUUCCGGGUGUAGCGGUGGAAUGCGUAGAGAUCCGGAAGAACACCGGUGGCGAAGGCGGUCUGCUGGGCAGUUGCUGACACUGAGGCGCGACAGCGUGGGGAGCAAACAGG